AAUAGGCUCAUCAUCAAUG
rnacentral:snRNA from 1 species